rnacentral:rRNA from 1 species
UACGUAGGGUGCAAGCGUUAAUCGGAAUUACUGGGCGUAAAGCGUGCGCAGGCGGUUCUAUAAGACAGAUGUGAAAUCCCCGGGCUCAACCUGGGAACUGCAUUUGUGACUGUAGAGCUGGAGUGCGGCAGAGGGGGAUGGAAUUCCGCGUGUAGCAGUGAAAUGCGUAGAUAUGCGGAGGAACACCGAUGGCGAAGGCAGCCUUCUGGGCCAACACUGACGCUCAUGCACGAAAGCGUGGGGAGCGAACAGG